AAAAAAACCUCGGCCCCAGGCAGUCUUUCGUGAAGUGAUAUCGUUUAGCUGAUGAUGGUGGAUAAGCCAGAGCAAGAGUGUGAGAGAUAAGAAGAGAGAUAGGAAAAAAAAUAUCAACAACGUGCCAGCGAUUAACAACGACACUCGGAGGAGUCAUCGGUGGGGAUCACUUUACAUACACUCUUCUGUGGGCCUCUGGUUCGGUUUGCUGGCGACCGGAACUGCUACUCCAACUACACCAAGGACCUGAAGCGAACACUUUUGCGGGAGGUCACAAGUGUCGGAGGCACUCAGCAGGCGGUUCCGAGAAGUCUAGAAAUGGAAAUGAGCGACUUUAGGUGGCACAAACAUUCUUUCCCGACUCCCUGCGGGACGACGACGCCUUCAAACAACUAGCGGCGGCUGUUCGCGCCAGCCGACCAGGUGUUUGAACCGCGGAAUUGAUAAGAAUCCGAUUAUGUAACGUGAUUCGUUUACUGCGAGUGAGUUUUUGUUUUAUGCUCCUCAGGGCGUUUGUUUUUUUCGGGAGCGACAUCGACAUUUGAAGGAAUCGGAACUAGCAACAGUAUGUAGGCAGUAAAUCGAUGCAUGUAAAUUAUAGCUGCGGCAUAUACACAAAACCAGCACACUCCGGAGAACGACCCAGCCGAAGUCGAGCUCGGUUCCUGAUCCGGGACAACGGAACGACGAAACGGUGGACGCACAAGGUUUACUAUGUUUGAGAGAGUAGGUGGAAUAAAUUGUUUUCCCAACCUGCUACUACGCGCUGCUUGACUGCCGCUAGGCUUGCCAGGCUAGUCACAAGAAAGGGGAUGGAAAUCCUUUUCAAAAGCACCAACACUUCAACAAACACACACAUACACGUAGCGCGUUCCAGACACCCACACCGUGCUGUCGUGGCACGGUGACAGCAUAAACUCCCGGGGGCCCUGAUAACGCACGCUCCCACGUCCUCGCACUGCCUCGUUCGGCGCGAGUCAAGUUCACGAAACACGCUUCUUCACUCUUCGCUAACUCCACACACCUUUUGUGUUUUUUUUUCUCUCUCUAACCUCCAACAGAACCCUCAGGGGAGUCGAACUGAUUGGCUGGGCUUUAUAGAACGCCCGGUUUUUACUACCCCCGGUGGUGCACAGGCACGAGAAAGAAUCAUAGAAAAGGGUCAC